UCGGAUCGCAGGCUGCAACCCGCCUGCGUGAAGUCGGAAUCGCUAGUAAUCGCGGAUCAGCAUGCCGCGGUGAAUACGUUCCCGGGCCUUGUACACACCGCCCGUCACACCAUGAGAGUCGGGAACACCCGAAGUCCGUAGCCUAACCGAAAGGGGGCGCGGCCGAAGGUGGGUUCGAUAAUUGGGGUGAAGUCGUAACAAGGUACC
rnacentral:rRNA from 1 species